rnacentral:rRNA from 1 species
AUGCAAGCAGCCGUGCACGACGUCUGCUACGGCGUGAUCGGCGACAACCUCCCCGCGCGGCGCGACGUGGUGCGGCUCUGCAGGUCCAGCAACAUCCACGCCAUGCGCAUCUACUUCCCUGACCAGGAGGCCCUCGCCGUGCUACGCGGCAGUGGCAUCGCCCUCGUCCUCGACGUCGGUGGCGUCGACCAAGUCCGCGGCCUCGCCGCCGACCCCUUCCACGCCGCCGACUGGGUCCGGAGCAACGUUCAGGCUUACUACCCAGAUGUCCUCAUCCGCUACGUCAUCGUCGGAAACAAGAUCCGCCCGGGCGAUGCGGGGUUCAUCCUCCCAGCCAUGCGCAACGUUCGCGCCGCGCUCUCUGCCGCAAGCCUCGGCGACGCCAUCAAGGUGCCCACCGCGGUGCGGUUCCACGUGGUGGCCAACUCCUACCCGUCGUCCGCCGGCGUGUUCACGCGGCCCUACAUGACGGACGUUGCCCGGUUCCUGGUGAGCACCGGCGCGCCGCUGCUGGCCAAUGUGUACCACUACUUCGUGUACCGGGACAACCCGAGGGACAUUCGGCUGAACUACACGACGUUCCAGCCGGGCGCCACGGUGAGGGACCUCGGCAACGGGCUGGUCUACAUCAACCUCUUCGACGCAAUGGUGGACGCUGUCUACGCGGCGCUCGAGAGGGCCGCCGCGCCGGGCGUGAGGGUGGUGGUGUCGGAGAGCGGAUGGCCGUCGGCCGGCGGUUUCGCCGCCACCAUGGAGAACGCCAGGAGGUAUAACCAGGGGCUGCUCGACCAUGUCCGGUCCGGGACGCCGAGGCGGCCAGGCCCGAUCGAGACGUACGUGUUUGCCAUGUUCAACGAGAACAAGAAGCCCGGGGACGCCCGGCAGAAAAUCUUUAGGCAGUUCUACCCUGACAAGGAACCUGUGUACCCGGCCACCUUCCCCAAUUUGCAGUUGCCACGUGUCAAUCCAUGCAACCAGUGCACCCGGUCGGUCCUCUGUCUUUUUUUUAUUUUCUUUAUGAGUAGUGCGACUUGUUUAUGUUAUAGAUCUUGA